rnacentral:rRNA from 1 species
AAAGGAAUUGACGGGGGCCCGCACAAGCGGCGGAGCAUGUGGCUUAAUUCGAUGCAACGCGAAGAACCUUACCUGGGUUGAACUAUGCCGGAAAAGCCGUAGAGAUACGGUGUCCUUCGGGGCCGGUGAUAGGUGGUGCAUGGCUGUCGUCAGCUCGUGUCGUGAGAUGUUGGGUUAAGUCCCGCAACGAGCGCAACCCUUAUCCUAUGUUGCCAGCGCGUUAUGGCGGGGACUCGUAGGAGACUGCCGGUGCCAAACCGGAGGAAGGUGGGGAUGACGUCAAGUCCUCAUGCCCCUUACGUCCAGGGCUGCACACGUGCUACAAUGGUUGGUACAGAGGGCUGCAAUCCCGCGAGGGGGAGCUAAUCCCAAAAAGCCAAUCUCAGUUCGGAUCGUAGUCUGCAACUCGACUGCGUGAAGCUGGAGUCGCUAGUAAUCGCAGAUCAGCAUUGCUGCGGUGAAUACGUUCCCGGGCCUUGUACACACCGCCCGU